AACGUAGGUGGCGAGCGUUAUCCGGAAUUACUGGGCGUAAAGCGUGCGCAGGCGGUUUUGUAAGCCGGAUGUGAAAUCCCCGGGCUUAACCUGGGAAUGGCAUUCGGGACUGCAAGGCUGGAGUGCGGCAGAGGAGACUGGAAUUCAUGGUGUAGCAGUGAAAUGCGUAGAGAUCAUGAGGAAGACCAGUGGCGAAGGCGGGUCUCUGGACAGUUCCUGACACUGAGGCACGAAGGUCAGGGGAGCAAACGGG
rnacentral:rRNA from 1 species